GAGCGGAAGGCCGCCGUGCGGAGGAGCGAGGCGGAGCCGCUCGGGUACUACGAGUCGGAGCACACCAAGAACGUCAGGGACUGGAAGGAGGUGUUCGACCUCGUCCCGCGCGAUCCGCCGCCGCCAGCAGCCGUGGCCGACGGCGAGCUCGUCUUCAAGAACAAGUGGCCCCAGGAUCUGCCGGGCUUCAGGUGACGAAAUCAACUUAUCUUUUCGAUCAUAUUUUACCAUUUAAUAGUUUAACAAUAAUUGAACUUUUUUUUGCAGAGAGGCGCUGGAGGAGUACGCGGCAGCGAUGGAGGAGCUGUCGUUCAAGCUGCUGGAGCUGAUCGCCCGGAGCUUGAAGCUGAGGCCCGACCGGCUGCACGGCUUCUUCAAGGACCAGACGACGUUCAUCCGGCUGAACCACUACCCUCCAUGCCCGAGCCCGGACCUGGCGCUGGGAGUGGGGCGGCACAAGGACGCGGGGGCGCUGACCAUCCUGUACCAGGACGAAGUGGGCGGGCUGGACGUCCGGCGGCGCUCCUCCGACGGCGGCGGCGGCGAGUGGGUGCGGGUGAGGCCCGUGCCGGAGUCGUUCGUCAUCAACGUCGGCGACCUCGUCCAGGUGUGGAGCAACGACAGGUACGAGAGCGCGGAGCACCGGGUGUCGGUGAACUCGGCGAGGGAGAGGUUCUCCAUGCCCUACUUCUUCAACC
rnacentral:lncRNA from 1 species